CCUUUUUCUUCAGCAAACUCUCCGUCAAAUUUUAGUUUUUCUUUUUUUUCUUUUUCUUCUUCCUCCUCUCGGUUUCUUCUCGAUUUUUCCUCUCUGAACUUCUGGUGAUUUUGGUUAGAGUUUGAGAAUAUGAUUUCGAGUUCGAGAACGCAACGAAAGGGUGGUUAUGAUAUGGGUUAAUUGAAGAUCUAGUGACUGUUAAUUGAAGUUGAGAUGGGUUCGAUCUGUGACUGAGAGAGGAGAUGAUGAAAGAAAAGAAAUUGAAGAUGGAAUCGACCAUGGAAGAAUGGGUUAUCUCUGGAUUCGUUGCAAAUGGAUUUGAUGGUUGAAUUAUGAAGAUUUGAAGCGGGUAUUGCAGCGACAGUGGAUAAGAGGAAUGGAGCACUGGUGAUGGCUAAAGGAUCUGAUGGGUGAUUAUCGAUUAAUGCUGCAGAGAUAAUAAUUACAGGGGCAUGGUGGUUGUACUGAGAUUUGUAGGAGCCGAAAUCUGAAGAUGGUGGUGAUUUAAUGUUUGAAAUGGUGGAGAUAGUGAAUGUGUUGCUACUGCAACUGAUUGCAGUAGUGCUGCUGGGGUAACUAUUUUGUCAACGUGGUCAGCUUUAUCAAAUUUCUUGGCUAUUUUGGGGGCUUUUUCUCUCUGAAUCAUACUUGGGAAGAUUCAGUGUUAUUUCUUUGGAUUCCAUUGCAAGCUUCGUAGUAGCGAUGGUGGUGGCGGCGGUGAAGGAUUCGGGAUUGAAGAUCUGUAAAUGUGUUAAAUUUGUAUAAUUUUUCUUCUUCUAUGUCCUAUAUUCUUUAUUUGUUUGUUUUAAUCAUGAUGUGGAUUUUGGUUGCCAGUGUACCGACAAUUGUUGAUUAAACAAAAUAAAGUUAGUUUAAUUUCUA